GACGAACGCUGGCGGCGUGCCUAAUACAUGCAAGUCGAGCGGACUGAUUAAGAGCUUGCUCUUAUGACGUUAGCGGCGGACGGGUGAGUAACACGUGGGCAACCUGCCCUGUAGAUCGGGAUAACACCGAGAAAUCGGUGCUAAUACCGGGUAAUAUCUGAGAUCACAUGAUCUUAGGUUAAAAGAUGGCUCCGGCUAUCACUACAGGAUGGGCCCGCGGCGCAUUAGCUAGUUGGUAAGGUAAUGGCUUACCAAGGCGACGAUGCGUAGCCGACCUGAGAGGGGGAGCGGCCACACUGGGACUGAGACACGGCCCAGACUCCUACGGGAGGCAGCAGUAGGGAAUCUUCCGCAAUGGACGAAAGUCUGACGGAGCAACGCCGCGUGAGUGAUGAAGGGUUUCGGCGCGUAAAGCUCUGUUGUUAGGGAAGAAACAGUACCGAACGAACUAGGUCGGUACCUUGACGGUACCUAACCAGAAAGCCACGGCUAACUACGUG
rnacentral:rRNA from 1 species